rnacentral:lncRNA from 1 species
CCACCAGUUUUCAGUCAUGGUGGCUCCAGCCGGUGACCUUGUCUAACCCUGCGAGCUCCGGAAGUCUCCCCUCCAACCUCCAUACUCAAAGGAGUUUCCACCCGCUCAGCACCGCACAAUGGGGACUGGAUUUUAACACCCGGACCCUUGGGGAACACGGCGAAUCCAACGUUCCGUCCACAGCAGGUUCUCAGGUGGAGUUCUAAGGCCUAAAGCCUUCGCUGAUAAUUUACAAAGUGUUUGCAGGACUUGGGUGAUGUUCCGUGUGUGCUGUCUUCAGGAAAUGUUUGCCCUGCAGUUAAGUGCAGAGCUGUGGGCCUCCUCGUAUUUACCGGGUUUAGAAACCUAAAAUGCCAAGAGUGACACACAAACACAGUAAUUAGCUCAGGUGAUCAGGGUUUUUGAUAUUUUAUGACCACUUGGUGAUAGGUCAUGGUUUGGGUCGUCUGCAUACUGUAAUUACUAAAAUAUCCAUUCCCCUUUCUCGGGCUUGGCAUGUUUUGGAGAUGUGUCUCAUCAUCACAUAGAAAACCACGGUAUCUUGUGAAGAUCACGUGGAUUCACUGGAGUCCAUGGGUCUCAAUGCGGCUUUUUGCAUAACGUAAGAAAAACUAAGCACACUAAAUAUGGACUAUAGAAAUGCCCUUAGCUACAUACAAUUGUUUACACUUAAAUUUAUUGCAGAAAUCUUCAGCUCCUUGGGCAUGUGCCACCUGCGCACAGGGUGGGCGAAUCCUCGUCCCGGGGCGCGGCUACGCGGGGCUGAGCCCAGGGCUGCGCCCGGCUCCGGAAACAGCCUCGCGCUCCCCGCGGUUUCACUUCUCCCUCUGCCAACCUGUGUCUGCUCCUUCUGCCUGGACACUGGUGACGCUGCCGCGCUUCUCAAGCCCAUUGCCUGCGGGCUCCCAGCCCAACCAAUCAGGGAUGCCGCGUCUCCGGUUAUAAAGUCCUCACAGGGCGCAGGGACUCACGAGUCCCCAACUCCCGAGGGUGGGAGUGAUGGCGCCCCGAACCCUCCUGCUGCUGCUCUCGGGGGCGCUGGUCCUGACCGAGACCCGCGCGGGCUCCCACUCCCUGCGCUACUUC